AGUUGCUAUGGUGAUGACGGAGGCUUCAUUGCGCCUGUUUGCAGAUUAGCAAAUAAGUCGGUUAGCUUUGGUCAAAUCUUGUUGCAAAUAAAUGUACAUCAAGUUUAAAACUGCUUGUACUUCCAAUUUAAUUUGUAAUGUCCAAUAUCACGUUUAUACAGGAUGCUAAUGCUCUCUGGCUAUCAGAAAUAAAACCACUUGCUGUCCACACAACCGGAAGGGUCUCCAGAACAAACAUACUAACCGUUAUAUACCAGAGCAGCUCAAGACCAGGAGGUGGCGAUAUUGACUGAGACAUUUUGGUGCUUAAUGACUCAUUCCAACAGUCUGCAACUUUUGUUUAGUUCCAUCAGAAACCCAGCUGAAAGUUUAUCCUGUUUACACCAGAGAAAGAUAAAUGAGCUGUAGUCAGAUAAACAAUAAGUGGGAGAGAAGUCAUCUGCAGGCAUUGUUGAAGCAGCAUGAAGUGCAGCAGGUCCAGGUCCAGCUGGAAGAGGUUCAAGGUCUGAUGAGACAGAUGACCAGAUGAUGAGCACAGAACUGGAAAAUGUCCUGCAUAUUAUCCCAAAUCACAGCUGCACUGUGGACACGCAACAGUGUUUGACUAACCAAAUCAAGCAGCUCAGAUGGGGGAAUUCACAAUACCUUAUCUAUUAGGUAGUUUCUGUACAUUUUAAACUGAUUAUAGAUUAAAUAACCCCUUACAUGGGCAUUGUUGAUGCUCAAUGGCUGGAACAGGAAGAGCUAUGAAGAUAUGUUACAGAAAUAUUUCCUUUGAUCCAAGCUGAGUGUUUUAUUUUGCACUUCUUCUCAUAAGUAUUUCUUGCAUGUCAUCCGCACUAUAUACUGUUUGGUUUAACAGGCUGCAUUGAGACAGACAGAGCUCAGACUCAGCAUAAUGCAAAGAGAGAGGGCCUGUCAGCACGCUGUGCUCUCAGAAAAGCUCUGCAGUGUUGAUCAGCUUACUUUAGAGAAACAGCAGAUGACCGCUGAGCCGGGACUGCGGUCUAUGCAGCUUACCCAGCUGAAAGAUAAAAACAAAGAUUCAUCGAAAUCCCAAACCGCAGACCUGAUAUGAAACGACUUUAAAGUGUGUGUUGAGCAAGUAAACUGUCCCUGAAAACUUUAUUUUAAAGUUUCCUUGUUACAGUGUAAUUAUACAUUUAAGUACAGAGUAAUAUUAAUUAACUACAUGUACUUGCUGUAUGGAUAGGAUUAGGAUUAGGGUUAGGUUUUGGGUUACUUGCAUGUAA